UACGGAGGGUGCGAGCGUUGUCCGGAAUCAUUGGGCGUAAAGGGCGCGUAGGUGGCCCGGUCAGUCUUUGGUGAAAGCGCGGGGCUCAACCCUGCGUCGGCCAGGGAUACUGCCGCGGCUCGAGCACUGUAGAGGCAGGCGGAAUUCCGGGUGUAGCGGUGGAAUGCGUAGAGAUCCGGAAGAACACCGGUGGCGAAAGCGACUUCCUGGACCAAUACUGACGCUCAUGUGCGAAAGCGUGGGGAGCAAACAGG
rnacentral:rRNA from 1 species